GAUGAUUCUCCAUUGACUGAUCGUUAUUGAUCAGCUGAUUGAUCGAGUCGAGCUGAUUCUUCAUGAGUUCAAACAGCUGACUCAGCAGAUUCCCGCCUUCGACGUUCAGAUCAGAUUCAGCAGUUUGACUCUGAACUUUGUCACUGCAUGUUUACUUUGUGUUAAUAAAGUUAACCAGUUCAAACAACACGCCGACCUCUGACCCCUGUGACGGACCAAUCAGAGAGCUUGGUUUGGAUACUGACCUGUAAGGUGUGUCAGUUUACUCCACAAAAGAGCAGGUGACCCAACCUGCAGGAUCAUCAUCGUCGUCGUCGUCAUGGACACCAUCAGAACACGUCUCAGACACGUCAGCCAGGUGGAGGGAGAGCAGUGUAACUAUGGUUACACUGCUCUCCCUCCAGGCUCCCUCAGUGGGUGAAGAGAAAGAACAGGUGGGAGGAGCUCAGAGGCUGGAGCUCAGGCUUGUGACAUCAGAGGCUGAGGAGGAGGCGGAGCUGAGCAGUGACAUCACAGCGUUGAUGCAGCAGUAUCACCAUGGUUACCGGAAGGCCUGCGUGUUCCUGUGUGUGUGUGGAGUCGUAGUCUUCACCACAGCGUUCCUACUGGCCUACGCUGUGUUUGGUGGGCGGUGCCACGGCUCCCAGGUGGAGGGGCAGGAGGAGGAUGAGCAGCAACCACCUGCAGGCGGGGGGGCGGGGCUUUACCUGGGUGAUCUGAGAGUGAUGAUGAGGAGGCUUCUGCAGGAUGAAGACAUCCACAACACAGUCAGCUGUGACGAGUGUGUGUGUGUGUGUGUAUGUGUGUGUGUCAGUCGGGUCAGCAGAGCGAGUCAUCCUCCAGGCUCCGCUGAGGGGAUGGCGCUGGCCUCCGAGGUCCUCCAGCGCUUCAGACAGCUGCAGAUGGACCACACCUGGACCGAGUCACUGUACGCCACGCUGCAGUUCCCCCACAGGUCUCAGAAGAGCUCUCUGUGGCUGGUGGACUCUGCAGGACUGAUCUCAGAGCAGAUUCCUCUGAACCCAUCUGACUUCUGUCCAUACAGCGCCACAGGAAGUACCACGGGGGGCGUGGUCUUCGCCAAUUACGGCCGCCCACAGGAUUUUAAUUGGCUGAGGAGUGCAGGUGUGUCUGUGGUUGGCUGUGUGGUGGUGAUGCGUGUUGGGGGCGGGGUUAGUUUCGCUGAGAAGGUCGGAUUGGCUGAGAGGAACGGAGCGGGCGGAGCUUUGAUCUACCCCGACCCCGCCGACCUGCCACAGGACCCCCAACGCCUCGGACUCAACACACACACCGCCGUGUCUGAACAUGUCCACUUGGGGUCAGGUGACCCCUUCACCCCUGGCUUCCCUUCCUUCAACCAUACUCAGUUCCCGUCCAUCCAGUCCUCCGGGCUGCCACUCAUUCCAGUCCUGCCAGUCAGUGCAUCUGUAGCCACCAAGCUGCUCAGCCAGCUGUCAGGUCCGCCCUGUCCUUCGUCGUGGCGGAGUCGGCUGCCAUAUGUGUGCUGCGUGGUCGGCCCAGACUUCAGCUCUGGACGCAGAGUCAAGAUGGCGGUCAACAACGUGAUGACGCCGGUGCUACUCAACAACAUCUUCUCAUCUCUGGAGGGCCGAAUUGAGCCAGACCAGUACAUCAUCCUGGGAGCUCAGAGGGACUCGCUGGGUCCAGGAGCCGUGAAGUCCGGAGUGGGAACAGCGAUCCUUCUGGAACUGGCCCGAACGUUCUCUGCCAUGGUGAAGAGCGGUAAGACUCACCUGAAGACAGGUUUCAGUCCCAGACGGAGUUUGCUGUUUGUCAGCUGGGAUGCUGGAGAUUUUGGGAACGUUGGAGCGACUGAGUGGCUGGAGGGUUACCUGUCCAUGCUGCACCUGAAGGCUGUGGCCUACUUCAGUCUGGACCAGGCUGUCAUGGGUGAUGAUGUCCUGUCUGCCUACAGCAGCCCUCUGCUGGUCGACCUGUUGGACGCAGCCAUCAGACAGGUGGAGCAUCCGAAACACGCAGGUCAGACGAUCCACAGCCAGGCGGAGAGGGAGGGAGGCAGCUGGAGGAUCAUGAAGCCGCUGUACCUGAACAGUGGAGCCUACACCUUCACGGCCUUCGCAGGAGUCCCGGCUGUGGAGCUCAGAUUCACUGAGGAGCGACCUUACCCAUUUGUCAACACACCAAUGGACAGCACCUCCAGACUACAGGAAGUGCUGGGGGGUCGUCUGGGGAUCACGGGGCGGAGCUUAGGUCAGCUGGUGGGGGAGAUGGUGCUGCGAUUGGCCCACGACCACAUCCUGCCUCUACGCAUCACUUCGUAUGCUAAGACGGUGCUGCAGUUCAGCGCUCAGCUCAUCAAACACUCUGCUGAGCUGCAGAGGUUUGUCUCCUCAGUGGGUCUUCAGUGCCAGAGGAGAUUACAGUCGAGCAGCUGAGAUGCUGCAGAGAGCCAUCGACUACAGCGACCUGCAGGAGCCGACGACCGCACGCUUCUACAACACCCGCAUCAUGAGGGUACAAAUACUGCAAACAUGGCUGCUGAUGAUCAGAAGAAACAAUUAAUUUCCUGAAUUAA